rnacentral:misc_RNA from 1 species
UAAUCUCACACCGAUCAUUUUUGGUGAUUGGAGGUGGACUUGGACCCUGUCGUGUCAUUAUGACUGGUCUGAAAUGUGUGAGUGUACCCUGCCUUUGCAGCGUCUUCAGUGUGAUAAGCAUCUUCACUGGAACAAAGCUCCUUCGGGACACGUAAGCAUGGUGGGCUCUAUGCUUCCAACCGUCUUUGGACACACUUUGACA